CUUAACUGGAUGCAGCGUUCCAGAUACGUCUCACCUGUGUUGAGUAAAGGGGAGGAAUUACCUCCCCUAGUCUACUGGCAGAGCUGAUCCUCAUGCAACUCAAUGUGCUAUUGGCAGAGAAAACUUUCUUUUGUAAUAGGUUUUGACCCAUGGGAUCUUUGGAAUCAAUAGCAUGCUCCAACGAGAUUGCACUUUCUUGCUUCUGUAAAUGCUGCUGACCUCUGAGCAUGCCCAAAUGCUAUGAAUGUAAAAACAACUGACAUUCCUAAAGGUGAACUUGGAGUCAUCCUGUCCCAGUACCAUUUGUGCACCAUUCUUCCUUCUUCAGAUACAGAUGUCAAGUCUGACAGCCAUGGAGACUGACAGCUGAAGAUGAGGGGCUCAGACAGCAGGAGUCCCAUGAUGAUGACUUAGCAGUGGGAAUAUGCAAAAUAAAAUGCAGCUUAAACACA